rnacentral:sRNA from 1 species
UUUUGCGGAAUCAACAUUCUGUAUACUGUGUCAACAGAAUACAGAAUGUUGAUUCUGUAUUU